AUGACGAGUUGUCUUACGUCACGCUGCAAAGAUGGCGACUCAGUGAGGGCUCCCAUGCUUGACUGUUGAUAAGUCAUUUUUUUAAACGAUUUGUCGUAAAAACAAAAACGUACCGAAGACAAAAUGUCACGGCUUAUUGUGAAAAACUUACCGAAUGGGAUGAAGGAGGAGCGCUUCCGUAAGAUGUUUGCAGCCUUCGGGACGCUGACAGAUUGCGGACUGAAGUUCACUAAAGACGGCAAGUUUCGGAAAUUCGGCUUCGUUGGAUUCAAGUGUGAAGAAGAUGCCUCAAAAGCGCUGAAACAUUUCAAUAAAAGCUUUGUAGACACGGCCAGAGUUACUGUGGAAUUUUGUACAGAUUUUGGAGACCCCAACAAAGCAAGACCCUGGAGCAAGCACAGCCGCCAGCUGGACAGAACAAAAGAUGAACAGAAGCCAGAAGGAGAAAAGAGAGAUGAGAACAAGGGAAAGAAAGAGAAAAAGCCUCUUGAUGUUCUUGGAGAACUGAAAAAUGAUGAAGGCUUCCAAGAGUUCUUGGCUGUGCACAAAAAUCGCACACAGGUGCCUACUUGGGCUAAUGACGCUGUGGAAGCCGGUACAGUGGAAAAGAGCAAAGAGACAGAGAAAAAGAAAGAAAAGAAAGCUGCCAGCGAUGACUAUUUAAACUUUGACUCGGAUGACUCCGAGGACUUGAGUGAGGAUGAGGAGCAGGGUGCAUCAGAGGAUGAAGAUGAGCAAGAUUCUGCUAAGGUGGCUCUGAAGGAAGACCUGUCAGAUAUGGAGUACCUCCGCUCCAAAGUGGUGAAGAAACCAGACAUGGUGGAUGAGAAAGAGGAGGAUGAUGAAGAGUUGGUGAAGGAGGAUAAUGCAAAAGACGUAGAAGAAGAAGAAGAGGGUCCAAUGCAACAGAUGGACAGCGCAAAUGAGAGUGGCGAUAAAGACAUCCAGAAACCACCACAAAACAAGUUUGAACCUGCUACAGAAUUCACAGUCAAACUACGAGGUGUGCCGUUCACCGUUAAAGAGCAACAAGUGAGAGAGUUUAUGCUGCCGCUGAAACCUGUGGCCAUCCGUAUUGCCAAGAACAAAGAAGGCCGUAACUCUGGUAAUGUGUAUGUGGACCUGCACUCAGAAGCUGAGGUGGAGAGAGCUCUGAAACUCGACAAAGAUUAUAUGGGUGGACGCUAUAUUGAAGUGUUCCGAGCCACGAACUUCACUGACAAGAGGACCACGAGAGCAGCUCCACAGGAGAAAAACUUUGUCUCUGAGCUGAAAGACGAUGAAGAAGAGGAGGACGUGGCAGAAUCCGGACGGCUCUUUGUGAGGAACCUGCCUUAUACAUGUACAGAAGAUGAGUUGAAAGAGCUCUUCACUAAGCACGGUCACCUCUCUGAGCUCAAUUUUCCCAUAGACUCUCUGACUAAGAAACCCAAGGGCUUUGCCUUUGUUACCUACAUAAUCCCAGAAAAUGCUGUGAGUGCUUUAGCCCAGCUGGACGGCCAUAUAUUCCAGGGCCGGAUAUUACACAUCAUACCCUCCAGGAUAAAGAAGGAGAAGCCAGAGCAGGAACCCAAUGCUCCAGGCAGUUCUUCAUAUAAGAGGCAGAAGGAUGCAAAGGAUAAGGCAGCCAGUGGCAGCUCCCAUAAUUGGAACACGCUGUUCCUGGGCACGAGUGCUGUAGCUGAUGCUAUUGCUGAGAAAUACAACACAACUAAAAGCAAAGUCCUUGAUCAUGAGUCACAGGGCAGUCUGGCUGUGAGAAUGGCACUUGGUGAGACACAGAUCAUUCAGGAAACUAGACAGUUCCUGCUGGACAAUGGUGUGUCUCUGGACUCCUUCAGCCAGGCUUCAGGCCAGAGGAGUAACUCUGUGAUCUUGGUGAAGAACUUACCGUCUGGAGUACAAGCGAAAGAGCUGGAGACUCUUUUCUCUCCUCAUGGCUCUUUGGGGAGGGUUCUGCUGCCACCUUCUGGCCUCACCGCUAUUGUGGAAUUUCUGGAGCCCACUGAAGCCAAACGUGCCUUCACCAGACUCGCAUAUACUAAGUUCCAGCAUGUUCCCUUGUAUUUAGAGUGGGCUCCAAUGGCUGUCUUUUUGACACCUCCUGAGCAGCACAAAGCAGCUGAACUUGAAGCAGUGAAUAAAAACGUGGCAGAUCAGCAGACGGAUGCAAACAAGAAGGAGGAGGAAGAUGAGGAGGAAGAUGAGGAAGAAGAGGAAAGUCUGCCUGGUUCAACACUCUUCGUUAAGAACGUGAACUACAGCACCACUGAGGAGUCACUACAGGAGACCUUCUCCAAAUGUGGAGAGUUGAAAAUGUGCUCUAUAUCCAAAAAAAGAGAUAAAUCAGGCAAACUGUCAUCUAUGGGCUAUGGUUUCAUACAAUACAAAACUCCUAAAGCAGCCCAGAAAGCUAUCCGUCAGCUCCAGCAUUGUACGGUCGAUGGGCAUCAGCUCGAGCUGAGAAUUUCUGAAAGAGAAUUAAAGUCAGGUGUGACACGCACUAGCAGGAAGAAACAAACGGCUAAAAAACAGACAACAUCUAAGAUCUUGGUGCGAAAUGUCCCCUUCCAGACUACAGUCAAGGAGCUUAGAGAGCUUUUCUGUACGUUUGGGGAGCUGAAGACCGUCCGGCUGCCAAAGAAAGGAGUUGGUGGAGCUCACCGCGGCUUUGCUUUCGUGGACUUUCUCACGAAGCAGGAUGCCAAGAAAGCGUUCUCAGCGCUGUGUCACAGCACCCAUCUGUACGGUAGGAGGCUGGUGCUGGAGUGGGCCGAUGCAGAGGAGAGUGUAGAAGAACUGCGGAGAAAAACAGCUCAACAUUUCCAUGCCUCAUUUCUUCAUGGCAUGGAUUCCAUGGGAUGUUGGAAACAUUCCUUUGAGAUUCUGGUCCAUGUUGACACGAUUGCAUCACGCAAUUCCUGCAGAUUUUUCAGGUGCACUUUCAAGCUGUAAAUUUCCAGUUCUAUCACAUCCCCAAUGUGUUCUACUGGAUUCAGAUCCGGUGACUGGGAAGGCCAGUGAAGAACUCAUUGUCAUGUUCAUGAAAAGACGACAUUUGCUUUGUGGCAUGGUGCAUUAUCAUGCUGGAAGUAGCCAUUAGAAGAUGGGAAAAUGGUGGCCAAGGGAUGCACAUAGUCAGCAACAAUAUCCAAAUAGACUGUGGAAUUCAAGCAAUGAUUGAUUGGUAUUAAUGGACCCAAAGUGUGCCAAGAAAACAUUCCAUUACACCACCUUCACCACCCUGGACUGUUGGCACAAGGCAGGUUGGGUCCAUGGAUUCAUUCUGCUGGCAACAAAUUCUGACCCAGCCAUCUGUGUGCCUCAGCAAACAUCGAGAUUCAUCAGACCAGGCUACAUUUUUCUAGUCUUCAACUGUCCAGUAUUGGUGAGCCUGUGCCCACUGCAGCCUCAGCUUUCUGUUCUUGGCUGAAAGAAGUGGAACCUGACAUGGUCUUCUGCUGUUGUUGACCAUCUGUCUCAAGGUUCGAUGUGUUGCUCAUUCUGAGAUGCUUUUCUGCUCACCACUAUUGUACAGAGUAGUUAUCUGAGUUACUAUAGCCUUUCUGUCAGCUCGAAUCAGUCUGGCCAUACAUCGUUGACCUCUCUCAUCAACAAGGCGUUUCUGUCUGCAGAACUGCUGCUCACUGGAUGUUUUUUUUUUUUUGUGUGUGUGUUUUUUUUUUUUUUUUUUUUUUUUUAAUUGCACCAUUCUAAGUAAACUCUAGAGACUGUUGUGUGGAAAACCCAGGAGAUCAGCAGAUAUAAAUAAUCAAACCAGUCCAUCUUGAACCAACAAUUAUGCCACAGUCAAAAUUACUGAACACAUUUUUUUCUCCAUUCUGAUGGUUGAUGUGAACAUUACCCGAAGCUGCUGGCCCGUAUCUGCAUGCUUUUAUGCCUUGCACUGCUGCCACACGAUUGGCUGAUUAGAUACUUGCAGGAAUGAUUGUUCCUAAUAAAGUGCAACAUGCUCCUAAGAAGCAGAAGCAAGCACAAGUUUUGGAGGGCAUCCUGGAGCAAAUGGAGGUUGGAGAAGGAGAUGAAUGAACAACAGCUAAUCUUUUUAUAUGGCAACAAGUACAGG